rnacentral:ribozyme from 1 species
CCUCGACCAGAGAAGCGGCCUCGCAGCAGUCAGCGCCAUGACGACCUUGAGCAAACGGCUUCCCUUGUUGGCG